rnacentral:tRNA from 1 species
GCGGUUGUAGCUCAGCUGGUUAGAGCGCCGGCCUGUCACGCUGGAGGUCGUGGGUUCAAGUCCCAUCAACCGCGC